UCCUCUUUGCCCUGCAUCAAUGUCAAGUGCAGUAUGUUUUAUGGGGACCUGGACAUUUCUACUGAACCCUUGAAUAGGUCGGUCUCCUGAAAGUCAACCAGUAUUGUCAAAUCAAGUUGUGUGGCAGAAAACUCUGGAGUCACUGUCCUGCAUGCAAUGCAUUCAUAUAUUCCUGAACUUAAGUAAUGCAGAAAAGACCAAGAAUCUGACCGAAAUAUGCCACUGGACAGCAGUUGUGAGACAGGCAUCAUGUUCAAUUUAGAGCUGAAAAAAGAGUAAGGAAAAGCCAGUCAUUCAGCAGUUGAGCAGAUUGCUUUCAAGGUUAAGAAAACACUGACUGAGCACCUGAUGGAGAAUCCUACAGACAAGGAAAAGCACAGGUGAAUUUCAAGGCUGCUGGGGCAGCGCUCUAACAGUACUUGUAA